rnacentral:rRNA from 1 species
GGGGAUAGCCCGAGGAAACUCGGAUUAAUACCGUAUACGUCCUUAGGGAGAAAGAGGGCUUAGCUUUGAUGCUCUCGCUAUUAGAUGAGCCUGCGUAAGAUUAGCUUGUUGGUGAGGUAAAGGCUCACCAAGGCUACGAUCUUUAGCUGGUCUGAGAGGACGAUCAGCCACAUUGGGACUGAGACACGGCCCAGACUCCUACGGGAGGCAGCAGUGGGGAAUAUUGGACAAUGGGCGCAAGCCUGAUCCAGCCAUACCGCGUGUGUGAAGAAGGCCUUCGGGUUGUANAGCACUUUAAGUAAGGAAGAAAAGAGUAUUGUUAAUACCAAUACUCCGUGACAUUACUUACAGAAUAAGGACCGGCUAAUUCCGUGCCAGCAGCCGCGGUAAUACGGAAGGUUCAAGCGUUAAUCGGAAUUACUGGGCGUAAAGCGCGCGUAGGUGGUUUAUUAAGUUGGGUGUGAAAGCCCCGGGCUCAACC